UACGUAGGUCCCGAGCGUUGUCCGGAUUUAUUGGGCGUAAAGCGAGCGCAGGUGGUUUAUUAAGUCUGGUGUAAAAGGCAGUGGCUCAUCCAUUGUAUGCAUUGGAAACUGGUAGACUUGAGUGCAGGAGAGGAGAGUGGAAUUCCAUGUGUAGCGGUGAAAUGCGUAGAUAUAUGGAGGAACACCGGUGGCGAAAGCGGCUCUCUGGCCUGUAACUGACACUGAGGCUCGAAAGCGUGGGGAGCAAACAGG
rnacentral:rRNA from 1 species